rnacentral:rRNA from 1 species
CACCUACGGGUGGCAGCAGUAAGGAAUAUUGGUCAAUGGACGAAAGUCUGAACCAGCCAUGCCGCGUGAAGGAUGAAGGCCCUCUGGGUUGUAAACUUCUUUUACAGGGGACGAAAAAAGGGAAUUCUUUCUCACUUGACGGUACCCUGGGAAUAAGCACCGGCUAACUCCGUGCCAGCAGCCGCGGUAAUACGGAGGGUGCAAGCGUUAUCCGGAUUCACUGGGUUUAAAGGGUGCGUAGGUGGGCUUGUAAGUCAGCGGUGAAAUCUCCGGGCUUAACCCGGAAACUGCCAUUGAUACUAUAAGUCUUGAAUUAUCUGGAGGUAAGCGGAAUAUGUCAUGUAGCGGUGAAAUGCUUAGAUAUGACAUAGAACACCAAUUGCGAAGGCAGCUUACUACGGAUACAUUGACACUGAGGCACGAAAGCGUGGGGAUCAAACAGGAUUAGAUACCCUGGUAGUCCACGCCCUAAACUAUGGAUACUCGACAUUUGUGAUAUACUAUAAGUGUCUGAGCGAAAGCAUUAAG